GGAAGUGUCUACACAAAAAGGCUCCAUCAGCAGAUUCGGCAGCAACAGCAGCAGCAGCCGCUACUGCCACCGCCUCCACCACCACUCAUGACUGUUACACCUCCUGCUGCUCUGGUGACUACUGCUGAACCUUCUACAUCUUCCUCUCUGUCAACCAGCAGUUCGUUGGAAGAGAAGGGCCAUCAGGCUCCUGUGCGAAGACAACCAGCAUUAGCAAGUCAUCUGGGCCCCCAAGGACAAUCAAUACCCGCCACUGGUCAUCCAGCGAGAGUCAGUACACUUUGCUCAGCAGGUGGCAGACCAGGCUGGGAACUCCUCUAGGAAGAACGGGACAACGAAAGGCAGAUGGUUGCCUUCUGGACACCGGAAAGAUCUUGGAUGCUAG